rnacentral:rRNA from 1 species
AUGGGGCGCCCAUCCUCCGCCCCCGACCUAACGCCUGCAUCACUGCGCCGCUCCUCGCACCUGCUAGCCAUUCCUGCUGAUGGGGUCGACGGCGACACCACCGCCAUCUCCACAUCGGAACUGCCUCACGCCUCCCUCACAUGUCCUCCAAGAUGGAGAUGCUGUUCCUCCAGCGCCUCCUCACGCGUUGAAGAGGAUGUUCCUCCGUCGCUUCCCUUGCGAACCAGAGUUGUCGUUUCGUCGCCGUCCACUUCUGCAUGGUCUGCAUCCUCGCUGCUCCCUUUCCUCUCCUCCAAGAACCCAAGACCUGAAGAUGUCACUGCAACCAAGCAGUAG